CACGUAGGAGGCGAGCGUUGUCCGGAUUUAUUGGGCGUAAAGAGCUCGUAGGCGGCUCGUCGCGUCGACCGUGAAAACCCGCGGCUUAACUGCGGGCUUGCGGUUGAUACGGGCGGGCUAGAGUUCGGUAGGGGAGACUGGAAUUCCUGGUGUAGCGGUGAAAUGCGCAGAUAUCAGGAGGAACACCGGUGGCGAAGGCGGGUCUCUGGGCCGAUACUGACGCUGAGGAGCGAAAGCGUGGGGAGCGAACAGG
rnacentral:rRNA from 1 species